rnacentral:lncRNA from 1 species
UAUAUCACUCUAAGUAAAUUUCCAUUUUUAAUGUUUUGUGUUGUCUUAGGCAUGCACUAAUAAUGAAAAUAUAUGCAUAUGUGAAUUAGAUUUUCACCCCCCAGCAUGUGCUGUAAGGAAAAGUAGAAUCAUUCAGUAUCUUUCACCGUGGAGAAGAGGCUCUUUCAAUGGCAGAGCUACAGAGUAUCCUAGGAAGAACUGGCUGCUUAUAAGUUUCUACAUUUCUCUACCUAUUCUUUUCAUUAUAGCCAUAAUAACUGUUAAAUGGAAAUCUCUGAAGGGAUGCUUAUCUCCAAAGGAAUCACCAAUUACUGAAUCUGGAUCAGAAUUCAGUACAUAUUCAUAUAGCAGUAGCAGGUAAGUACAUAUAUGAAGUUUAUCAUAUUUAAAAAGUAUAUAAAAUUCCUUGUUACAUGCUCACCCUGACUAGAUGAGAAUGUUCCCUCCCUACUCCAAUUUAAUUAGAGCACUUUGUCCUUUGCCCUACAUUGUAUUAUACUUUUCUCUAUGUGGUUUUACCCAUCCCAGCAGAAUAUAAAUUCCUUGAGAAUAAGAACUUUUAUCUAUUUUGAUUUUUUAAUCCCAGCGCCUAGUACAUGAUAGUCAUUAAAUACAUUGAACUGAAUUUAAAAUUCACAAAUGUGUAAGUUUGGAAAAGUUGAUGCAGCGUUAGAUGUUUCUAAAGUAACAAGGAAUCACCUCUAGUAUGACACUGAAUUGUGCUGGCUACAUUACCUAUCUUGCAGUUCAUAGUAUUCACAG